ACAAUUUAAUGCCUAUUUUUGUCACAUAAGAGGCCAAAGAUUCCAGAUGGUUAACAUUUUAAUUGAAGUUAACAUGGAAGAUAAAUGAAACAAGCUUGACUGGUCAGUAGAAAUUAGGUUCUCUGCAAUUUUGAAGGUGAAGAGAAAAUUGAACUGUCACUAACAUGAGGACUUCAAAAGGAAUAGUGGGACAACCCAGGAGAGAAAGCGUGGGACUCCCAGAGAUGGAGGCUGAGGCAAUGUGUCCCAGCAUGUGAGCGGCAGGCUUGGAUGUGGAUUCCCUCCAUGUAGCAACAGCACGAACCAGCCCUAGACUUACUCUUUUUUUUUUCCCAACGGAUGACCUGGACAUUCUGAAGUUGCAUUAAUAGCAAGUUUAUAUUCCUAAUAUAAAUACAUCUCCUCUGAGUCUUGGAAAAUGGGAUCAACUUAAUUGUCUCCACAUGUAUGCUCUGGGGAGCCUGGUCCUCACUGAACCCCAGUUACAAAACCUACAGCAAAUUUUUGUCCAGAUCACUGUCCAUCCAGCUUGCCGUGUUCUGGAGGAAGAUGUUUUGUUUUAUAGUUUGUGCUAUAGUCAUGAGAACAAGCAGCUUGUGUUCUAUAUCUUCUUACUUUUUGAAGCAAGUGUGCUGGGUACUGUUCACGCUGAUCAGCCCUAGGCCUGGGGGCCGUGCCCUUGCAGCCACUCUGAAGCCAGUGCCCAGCCUUGUGCCUGGGAGACCAGGGAGGCUGGGGAGGGAGGCCGGGGAAGCUGACUGCACGGCAGCUGAGGUCACAGCUGCUUGUGGAGAGAAGCUUCAAGUUGACAUCACUGUGAGCUAAAACCGUGGCUACCCUCCGGAUAACAAAGCAAGCUAUUGGCAGGAAGAAAGGGAAAAUUACGAAAAUUAAACAAGGCAAGCAUUAAUGCCAUAUUGCCUUUUCUCUCUGAAAUGCAAGAUUUGGCAAAGCCAAUUUCCACAUUUGGCCGUGGCCUCUCAGGCUUCUGUGCCAUCCCCGUGGAACGUGGUGCUGAUCCUGGGUCUCCCCUCUCCAGCCCUGGCUUUGUCCACUUUGCCCCUCCUGGGCUCCGCCUUGCCCUCCUCCUGCGGCUGCCAUGCCCGUCCUGAACUCAGCUCCUCUCUGACCCCACGCACGGCUCCUCUCUGACCCCACGCACGGCUCCUCUCUGACCCCACGCACGGCUCCUCUCUGACCCCACGCACGGCUCCUCUCUGACCCCACGUCCGGGGCUGCGUCCCGCCUCGGCUGCUCUCACUGCAGCCGUUUCUUCACAGGGUGAUCCUCACAGAAACACUCAAAGCCUUCUGUUACGUACAAAGGACCGCGUGUCAGUAAUCUACAGCCAUUUACCAGUUACCAAGAAAACACGGACGUUUCCACUAAAAAUCGCAAACGUUUCUUUCAAGCAAGGAGCGCCCUGCGCCAGAGGCUGUGGGAGGAGUGAGGAGUCUGGGUUCGUUCCAGCCGCAAUGCUCCCAAAUCCUGUGGUUUGCCCCGGUGUGCCACAGACUUUUCUGUUUCUGUGUGUGCCAUGCUCGUGCUGCACGGCAGCUCAGCAGCAGGUCUGCUCCUCUGUGCUGAACUGAAGGGAGCCGAGUGCUCGCCCUCCGUCCGGGCCGGAGCUCAGAUCGUCCUGCCUCACGUACAAGAAGUAACCAGUUCUUUGGCCUUCAGACUCCCUGUUUCACUGGGGACAUGGAUGAAGCUGGAAACCAUCAUUCUCAG
rnacentral:lncRNA from 1 species